UGGUGGAUUUUGUGCUCUCUGCAGGGCCACCGCCACUGACGAGGAGAGGGGCCCUCAGCGCCCGCAGCACGGCGAUUUUCCCUUGUGCACAUCAGGAGAAGUGCCCUCACACCGCGGGGUCUGAAUGUGCGUGGGAAAAGCAGGAAACAGCACGGUGCUGAUUUAAUUAGCUCGCUCUAAUUAAAAGGAAGGGAGAGCGCGGUGUGACAGUGCUGGGCUGGUGACGCGGUGCUGGCCCAUCGGGACCGCGGUCGUGCCGCCGCUCACGCCAGAAAUUUUUGCUGCCCACACACACGUCAGCGCCACGGAGACUCCCCAGCUUGGCCACCAUCUGCUGUGGUGAUAUACAGCUGCUGGAGGAGUUCUCUCAGCACUAGGAGACCUUCCCCAUGGCAGAGAGACAGCAGGAGGGUUAUUCAGCAGCCAGUGAAAUCCCAAGCAAGGAAGUGUUUUUAUCCUGCUGGAAAACUUAAUUAAUGCUCCGUCAGAGAGUUUGAUUUCCAAGCUGAUGAAGGAAGAGCAAGGGGCUGGGAAAAUCCAAACUGCUUGGAGCUCUGUCACUGGGAGCUUCUGAAUCAAAGCCAGGCACCGUGACCUGCCCAGGCUGCCUGGUUCUGGGUCCAGGGGCUCCCAAGGAGGCUGGAGAGUGGUGCAGGAGCAGUAGAUCCCUGGAAAAGAGAGUGGAUCGACACCCCGUGCUGCAGGGAGGGAGCAGGAGCAGGUCCUUUGGCUCCCGUACCUGCUCAAGCCUGAUCACAGCAGCCCCGGGGCUGAUCCAUCGCUGCCAACGGGCGCUCGGGGAAGGUGGGAGAGACACGAACAACAACACAGUGGCACAGCACAAAAGUUUAUUUUGAACCUCAAAUAUUUAUGAUCAACACCUGGUAAAUGGCCAGUGAAAUCCAUUUUAUGGUGUCAUUAAUCUGCUAUAAACGGUUUGUAUUUUUAGAGUUGUUUGCACAACGUUGACUCAUCCCUGCCUUCGAGGAGGCUGCAGGGAGCUUCCCUGCCCUUUGUCUUCCCUGCCUUUUGCUCCUGCUGCUCAAAUCAAACAGGGAAGGGGUGCGAUCUCACGGCAGCACGCAGAGGGGGAUAUUCCCGCUGUAAUUUCUGCUGAGAUGUUUACCUGGAGAUUGAGUGUGGUGCGAAGGUACCCGCGUGAAGCGGGGUGGGUUUUGUGUUAUGUGUCUGAAUCCCAGAAUAAUUGUGUGUUGGAAAGGACCUUAAAACUCAUCCCAUUCCCCCCCCUGCCAUGGGCAGGGACACCUUCUGCUAUCCCAGGUUGCUGUCUGACCUGUCCUUGGACUCUUCCAGGGAUGAUCCCUGUGUCCAUGUGGCCGCCAGCCCCAUGCCAGGGGCCCUGCCGGGUACGGAAGCUGUUGCUGCCAAGGAGCUGUGAAGUGUCUGGUCUUCCCUGAAGAAUUAAUUUGUAUUGGAACUCAUUAUCAUUGAUUUAUUUUUCACUGGAUAGUCCAACAUCCACAGCUGGAAAAAAACACCCCAACGCUAACCCACAAGUGAGGGACACAAGUGAAGGGUCCUGACAUGAGGAGCAGCCUGAGCUGGGUAUGUAUGGAACACUCCUGGUGACAUCCCUGCAUCACUGAAGGCCAGGGAAUCAUGGAAUGGAAUUAUAGAAUAUCCUGAGUCAGAAGGGACCCACGGGAUCAUUGAGUGGUGCCGAAAUCUGCACAUCCCUCAUCCCGAGCAGCCCCUCAGCACCCUCCCAGCCUCCACAGAGGGGCUGACCCCAUGGAAAGAGCUAAAACAAGUCUGUGGCAGCACCAUAAUGCUGGAAGAGGAUGGAGCACCCACCUGGUGUGAGCUGGAGUUAUUCCAGGGGCACAGCGGGGUUCCAGCAGAGAGACGAGCUGCUCAAAACCCGAAGAGCCACAGAGAUUUCAGCCCCUGUGGCUCUGUCUGGCUGUGCUAAAAUUCCUAAUUAAGCCCCCUCGUCUGGAGGAUGAGGUGGCCCCAGCCAUUAAAACCCAGCCACGGCUUGAAAACUUAAUAGGGGAAAUUUAAUGGAUGAAGUCAAUUGAAUUAUUCAUCCCCAGAAAGCUUGUACAAAUAUCAAAUGCUUAUUAGCAUUCAUGCAACCUGUAUGAUCUCACAGCUCUGACAGAUUAAGGUUGGGGCUAAUUGCACCCAGGAUGGCAUCAGAUUUGGUGGUUGGUAUUUUUUUAAAGCUUUUUUUCCUCCCCAGCAUGACAAAGAGAAUUUCAGAUCGAUGCCAUCUGAGAUUUACCCUUGAAGCAGAGCCCCUGUGAUGGUUUCCUUCCUCAGCAUGGUGGUUUUUAAUCCCUGCUUGAUUCCUGCUCCUCAAAGGGUGCCGAGGUGGCUCUGAGCCAGCCCAGAUGGAAACAGUGCCCAUCCCUGCGGGCUGUGGGUUUGCUGGAAUGGACAGUGGUGGGACAGAGUCUGGCUCAUAAAUGGACAGGACUGAAUGGCCAUUAAAAAUGCAAAAUAGAAAUCGAUCCAAUUAAAUAAUCAUGACUUGCAUUUACCCGGUGCUUUUUGCUUCCGAUCUUAAGCAAGGCUUGCAGACAGUCCAGGGGGAAAUCGCUUAAUGCUGCAGAGAUUUAAUCAACAAAAUUAACACUGGCUGAUGUUAAAUAGUUUCUCUGGUCAUGGCCAGGUUUGGGGAUGCAGCUGUGGGAGUUUUGCACCUGCACGUCCAGGUGAGUGUCCCCAAAAGAGGCAUUGGGGAGCAAUCCAUGGUCACUCUUUGCUCUUGGAAAAUUCAGUCGGAGCUUGAUUCACGCCACACUGCCAGGAUGUUCCUGCAGGCUCAUGGAUGGGGUUGGUUUGGGUCCUCAUGAGCUUUGGGGGGUUUGGGAAGGUGUGGCUUUGUCAGAGGGUGGGAGCCCGGGCAGAACCAGAACCAGGAGCAAAUAUCCAAACUCAUUCCCGACGCUGCCAUGGCCUCAAGCCCUUCCAAAUUGUUCUACAUCCCCCUCUCCAUCAUCACCAUCAGCCACCAACCAACCCCAUGGCGAGAGGCUUUUCCCCCGAAGGGAAUUCAGGCACAGGGCCAGAAGGGAAUUCAGGCCUUUUCCAGCACAGCUAAAUAAUCCCAGCGGUAAAUGACACCCUGAGUGUCCCCUUAUGCCGAGGGACAUCCCGGAGCAUCCCACACGCCUCCAGGCAGGAUUCAGCCUGAAGCAGAGGGAUUCACCUCCUCUGCUUAAACUGCAGCAAAAGGAGUUUGCCAUCCUCCCCAAAGCACUGUUAAUCAUGGAUUUUAUGGCUCUUUUCUGGAAUUCCUCACUAUCCCGCCGAGACACAAUCAUUAUUUACAAUAAUUCUAAAUGACUCUUAAUUACAGCGGCGCAGGUGCUCCUCGGAAGCAGCCAGCACAGAGCUGGAUCAACAUAUGGAGACUCUUGGGUGAGGUGAGGGAUUCUCUGAGCUCAGCUGGAGGUGGGAGAAGCCUCAAACUCCAGUGGGGAUGGUUCACACCUGGGGGCUGCAGCUUUGAGAGGUUGAGCAGAGAGGUUUCAGGGAAUGC